UGAAUAACGGAGACACUCUAG
rnacentral:miRNA from 1 species